AUGCAGAAUAAUGCUAGUGAGUUUGUGGACGUAUAUGAAAUGCUCCACCAGCAACUGCAUCAUCAGCAUCAAAGACUACACCUCCAUCCGGAUAAAUGUGGCUGAGGUUGAUAAAGUCACGAGCAGGUUUAAUGGCCAGUUUAAAACCUAUGCUUUCGGUGGGGCCAUUUGAAGAAUGGGCAAGUGAGAUGAUCUAUUCUCCCAU
rnacentral:lncRNA from 1 species